rnacentral:pre_miRNA from 1 species
ACAGCAACAGGACUAUCGUCUGCCGAGCAAUUUCACCAGCUCGGUGGAAGAUCUUUCUUUUGUCAU